rnacentral:rRNA from 1 species
UACGAAGGGGGCUAGCGUUGUUCGGAAUUACUGGGCGUAAAGAGCUCGUAGGCGGUUUGUCGCGUCUGCUGUGAAAUCCCGAGGCUCAACCUCGGGCCUGCAGUGGGUACGGGCAGACUGGAGUGCGGUAGGGGAGAAUGGAAUUCCUGGUGUAGCGGUGGAAUGCGCAGAUAUCAGGAGGAACACCGGUGGCGAAGGCGGAUCUCUGGGCCAUUACUGACGCUGAGGAGCGAAAGCGUGGGGAGCGAACAGG